UUGUCUCCAGAAAAAAAAAACGUUUCUUGGUUGUCUUAUCAUCUUCUCGAAUCUGGCUUUUCAAAAUCAUGGAAAUCAGAAGUCAAUUGCUAUGAUUCUUCUUUGUUUUAAUCAGAAAUGAUAGAUUAAAAGAUUUUACAUUCAGAGGGAAGCUGCGAUCUCCAAAAUUCCAUAUCGUGGGUGAACUAUUCUGAAAUCGAUUCAGUUCCUGAUCAGCGAAUUUGGAAACAUAUCCGGGGAGAUUUGAGGCUAAAAAUAAAGUCAGCGAUUGAUUACAUACUAUCAGAUAUGGACAGCCAUCGAGGAUUUGAGCUAAUAUGAUGUGUUCCAGGAUACGUAAUCAGUGGAAGAAAAUAUUUGGAAAUCAAGAAGUUGGAACACAAAUCUCGCAUAGGAUCACAGUGGAAGGCAAUGAAAUAUCUUUUUAUUGUGUAUUAGAUUUUUGAAUAGAAACAAUUGGCGGUGAAAAUAAUUGUGGGGUGGGUUAGGAAUAGGUAGAACUGAAAUGGGCUUGGAUCUUGAUAUGUUAAUGUUUAUUUUCGAACCCAAACAAAUAAA